rnacentral:rRNA from 1 species
GAUGAACGCUGGCGGCGUGCCUAAUACAUGCAAGUCGAGCGAACAGACGAGGAGCUUGCUCCUCUGACGUUAGCGGCGGACGGGUGAGUAACACGUGGAUAACCUACCUAUAAGACUGGGAUAACUUCGGGAAACCGGAGCUAAUACCGGAUAAUAUAUUGAACCGCAUGGUUCAAUAGUGAAAGACGGUUUUGCUGUCACUUAUAGAUGGAUCCGCGCCGCAUUAGCUAGUUGGUAAGGUAACGGCUUACCAAGGCAACGAUGCGUAGCCGACCUGAGAGGGUGAUCGGCCACACGGGAACUGAGACACGGUCCAGACUCCUACGGGAGGCAGCAGUAGGGAAUCUUCCGCAAUGGGCGAAAGCCUGACUGAGCAACGCCGCGUGAGUGAUGAAGGUCUUCGGAUCGUAAAACUCUGUUAUUAGGGAAGAACAAAUGUGUAAGUAACUAUGCACGUAUUGACGGUACCUAAGCAGAAAGCCACGGCUAACUACGU